rnacentral:lncRNA from 10 species
ACUCCACUGCUUUGGCCUCAAGGAGUUUGGUCGACACUUGAAGACUGACCAAGAAAAAGUAAUUUGUCCCAGUUUUCUCCCACCCUUUGUUUUCUUCUGCUCCUCUUGGGCUUGUUUUUUUUUUGGGGGGGGGGGUUCUUUCUUUUUUCUUUUCUUUUUUUUUUUUUUUUCCCGCAGUAAGUUCUGAAAAUCGCCUCCCAGAGGAGAUAACGCGUUCUCCUCUGUAACCCGUCCUUCCACGUCCCGGUGGUGGGGGGGGGGGUCCCGGUUCUCAUUCUUUCGGGGACCUGCAAGGAGCCCCGCCCGCAGGCUUUGAACCGAUUUCGGCUCCGCGUCCAGGAGCAGGCCCUACGUAGGGCCGGGGGAAUUCAGGUGCGUCUGCGGGGCCCAGGGCACCCAGGGCAGGCGGGGACUGAGACGACUGAGGGUUGAGGGACAAGGAGGUUGGGACUGGGGAGGGGAGACCCGGGACCCGCCCAGAACGCUUUCGUGGGGUUGGAGAGGGCAGGACACAGCCUCUCUGGGCCCGGUAGUAUGCGAAGACACGCAUAACGCAAAAGGAUUCCCGUCCUGGACUUUGGGAAUUAAGGCCCUGAACACAUUGAGCAAAAAGUAGAUCUGUCUGUACAGACGUUUCUUUCCACGUCUUUCAUAGUAAGGACUUUAUUAAAAAGCAGGCACUCGAAUCCUAGGUGGGUAGAUGGGAGGCUGGGGCUGGGGAUGGGGACGUCCUCUGUUUUCUGGUUGUGCACAUUAAAAAUAACUCUCUGCUGCCUACUCCUAAACGCAGCCGGCAAAAAUGAGACGUCAACUAAGCGCCGUUUCAGUCCCAGAGCCAGGUCGUCCAUGGGGGUUUUCAAGCGUUUUCUCGAUGACUGAUUUUUCUAGAAGCGAAUGGAUUUUAUUCUCCCAGGUGUAAAGGCUACCUCCUGCUUCACACCCGGGUAACAUAAAAGACAGCGCUGGGACCGAAACUCGGGUCUCCUGGGUCCUGGUUGGCUGGAGAGAGGGGCAAUGAACGUCCCGAAAAGAAUUCUGUCUUUUCUCAAUAUCUGGGAGGACUCAUAACAGGGUAGAUAAUCAGGAUGGAUGUUUGGCAGGUGGGAAUCUUUGAGACGGUCUGUGCACACAAUUUUAACUCUACUUUUGCCAGUUUGGAGGACAUGAAAUUCCUGAUGAGUGUAUGUUAAAAGGGAAUAGAGAAGGUAAUAUACACAACGUUCUAAAAUAAUUGCUUUUCGUGGAGGCAAAGUGGCUAAGCAGUCCAAAGCGCUGGAUGAAGGCUCUAAUCUCUUGGGGUGUGGAGGUUCUAGCCUGUUUAGCCACAGAAGUCAUGAAACCACUAUGUGGUAUUUGUUAAAUAAUGAGUUUUGAUACUUAAAAUAAAAUGGAAUUAUUGGAGUGAAUUUUGUUUGGUUCUGUUGAAUUUGUUAUUCUUACACACACUAGCCAGAUUCUACUUAUUUGUGGGCGGCAAGCCACCCAGGCACCGAGGCAAGAGACAGAGGACACGAGCUGUUCCAGUAUAAUAAAAUAUAAAACAAGAAUAGUUAUACCAAAUAUAGAUCUUAGAUAUGAUUAUAUAUGAAAAUCAUUAAUCAUUAGUUUGUAGCAAUUACUUUUUAUUCCAAUAUUAUAAUAAUCCUCGCUCUAUAAUCAUAGCCUAGGAAAAACCAGGCCUUACAGAGAUAGGAGUUGAGGGAACAUAGUGAGGUGUGACCAGAAGACAAGAGUGCGAGCCUUCUGUUAUGCCCGGACAGGGCCAGCAGAAGGGCUCCUUGGUCUAGCGGUAACGCCAGCGUCUGGGAAGACGCCCGUUGCCGAGCGGACGGUGGUCUAGCAGAAGCCUCAGUGUCAAGAAAAAACACCGGCUGCUUAGCAGACCGGAAAAGGGAGUCUCCCUCUCCCCGGGGGAGUUUAGAGAAGACUCUGCUCUUCCACUUCUUGUGGAGGGCCUGACAUUAGUCAGGCUCGCCCGCAGUUAUCCGGAGGCCUAACCGUCUCCCUGUGAUGCUGUGCUUCAGUGGUCACACUCCUAGUCCGCCUUCAUGUUCCAUCCUGUACACCUGGCUCUGCCUUCUAGAUAGCAGAAGUAAAUUAGUGAAAGUACUAAUAGUCCCUGAUAUGCAGAAAUAAUGGCGUAAGCUGUCUUUCUCUCUGUCUCCUCUCCCUCUUUGCCUCAGCUGCCAGGCAGGGAAGGGCCCCCUGUCCAGUGGACACGUGACCCACGUGACCUUACCUAUCAUUGGAGAUGACUCACAUUCUUUACCCUGCCCCUUCUGCCUUGUAUCCAAUAAGUAACAGCGCAGCCAGACAUUCGGGGCCACUACCGGUCUCCGCGCAUUGGUGGUAGUGGUCCUCCGGGCCCAGCUGUCUUUUCUUUUAUCUGUCUUGCGUCUUUAUUUCUACACUUUCUCGUCGCUGCACACAGGGAGAGACCCACUGACCCUGUGGGGCUGGUCCGUACACUUAUUAACAUUUUAUUUGAUAUGUUGAUCUUUGGAUGUAUGAAUUUGAUUGUUCUCAUUUGAUUUGUUUUGUUUUUACUUUGGGUUCUAUUUAUGUCAGGUUUUGGUAACCUUAAUGAAUGGAUUAGGCAGUUUUCCACUUCUUAUGCCCUGAAACUUUUCAACCCAGAAGAGUUACCUGAUCCUUGACAAUUUGACAGCACUUGGCCUAAGAGAAUGGGGCCUUUUCAUGGGGCUUAGAAAUGGAAAGAGACUUUUGACAGCCUCUUCAUCUAUUACCGUGGUUAUUAUUCUGUGAGGAUGUGUCAUUUGAGUGUGUCAUAUAGUGCCUCUGAUUCUCAGUUGCUUAUUUGUUGAGAGAUAAUGAUACUGAAUAUUAAAUGACUUACUGCUUUUAAAAUUCUAGUAUGAUGCCUGGGCCAUGCAAGCCUUCAAUCAAUGUUAUUUAUUAUUAUCACAUCAAUAUUGGUAAUUUAUAUUGUCCUAAAUCCUAUCUCAUUCACUAUGCUUAGAUUAUCAGGGAUUAUCAGAUACAGAGGUAGAAAGUUGUAAAAAAAUGCUUUUUAUUUGAGAUACACAUCUCAUCUCUAUUUGUAAAUGUGUCUUCUUCACUAAUUUUGAAUUCUAAGUUUAUAUUUUCCCUUAGACAUUCCACAGAUUUGUAUUUCAGUUUUAUUUACAAAAAAAACUUUCUUAGCUCUCCUAGCAUGUAAACAGAUUUUCUCUGUUGAUUCCUUUCUUCUGCUUUCAUUUGGUAUGUUUUGUUGGUCUUUUACUUGCUUCUGAAGAGAAAUACUCACCAGCAUUUCAGUCAUUUAAAGUCUUUCUCAUUUACUUAAAAAAUGCACUUAAGUUACAAAUGUUCCCCUCUGACCUGCUUUUGUAGCAUUCCACAGUAAUGAUAUAUGUUGUCUUAUUGACAUUCUAUUAUACCUGGCCUGUAAUUUUAGUUUUGAUUUUCUCUUUGAGCAAAGAUAUUUUUAGAAGCAUUUGACAUUAAGUAUAACAUUUUAUACUUUUCUGAUUAUAUUUUGAUGCUGAUUUCUAUCUCUAUUUUCUAGCACAGUAUUAAUUUUCUAAAUUAAAAAGUAUUUUGAUAUUUUCUUAUUAGAUCAUUGUAUAGUCAAUUCUUUAAUUUCUUUGGGCAAUUUAAAAAUUGUGUUUUCUCUAUAAAGAAUUUUAUGAUAUCUAUCAGGUCAAUGUUUUAUUCUUAUUUGUCUUUUAUAAUAUUACUUAUUUCUUUGUCCACUGAUAUUUCUUGAACUUAGAGCAAUAAAUUGAAGUCAAUUACUAAAUUGUCUCUGCCUUUCUACUUGUGUCUCCACUGAAUUUCUGCUGAAUGAAAGUUGCUGCUUUAUUUUGAGCAUGAAUAUCAAAAAAACCAAAAAUCUUUACCUCCACUUAAACUGUAAUUUUUAGCAUUUUGCAGUACCCUUCUUUGUUUUAUUUAAUGAGUGUUGUCCAAAAUCCCACCUCACAUGAUUUUAAAUCCUUGAGUCCUUUCUUUUUGUGAGUUUGCCUGAUAUUUUUGUCUGUUCUUUAUUUUCAAACUUCCUGAUUGUUUCCAAGCCUGUGGGUAAGUAGCAAGCUGUGGGGAGGCAGUGUGACAAGGUAUAUGCAGGAAACAAAGAGCUCAGAGAGACUAGUUUUUUUAUUUUCACAGCAUUUUAAAAGCCAAUGACCCUAAUUAAGAGAUACUUAAUCUUCCACUGGUUUAUGUGGUCAUAGUGAAAAUUACAGUUGAGAUAUUGAAUAUAGCAAAUGUGUAGCUCUGUGGAGAAAUUGUGGCACUGGAAUCUCUGAUUCUAGCCAAGAACUUCCCAGAGGCAUGAGUAAAAUGUUCCCAACUUGAAAAUCUAGUGCAAGUAGAAGAUUCAAUCUUUUAAUGUUGAUGUUUUCUAGGUUCCAUAUUUGGUUGCCCUUUUUUCUGAGAUGGUAUUCAAAGGAAUAUUCCACACACUCAUAUCUUUGAACCUUUCAAAAUACUUCCAAAUAUCUUGCAUAUUUGGAAUACUGAUAACUUCCAAAUAUCUUGCAUAAAACUUUUUAGAAUGCCAUAUGAUUAUAGCCAACUGCCUACAAGACAUUUCCACCUUAGUAUCUCAUAGACACCGUGGACUCAUCAAGUUCCUCCUAUUAUUGCUUUUCUUUUUGAGUAGCACCACAACCUAGUCUGUUAAAGUGAAAACUGUGUGAUUACUGUAGAUGACUCUCUUUGUCCCCUCAUGCAUUUUUUUCAUCAGGUGAAUAUGAUGUAACUGCUGUUUAGAUUCAAAUAGUGAUCCUUCCCUAACUAGCCAUGGCAAUUAGUAUGAUAUUCUAAGCAGAACCUGCUGUUGUGAAAACAUAAUUUGAUGGAAUUGAGAGUUUUUGCUAUUCAGUUAAACUCUUAGUGAGUCAAAUAUGCCAAAUGUAAAGUUCUAUUUUUAAUUUAAUAUUUGUUUUGUCUCUCGAGAAGCUUUUAUUCUAAACAGAGAGAUACAAAUCUGAUGUUUUGAUGCACACAUUAAAAAAUCUGAAUCAAGUUUGGCAUAAAGAGAUACUUAAAUUUGCCAAAAUACUUAUGAGAAAUAAUCAUAAAUGAUGGCAUAUAUUAUGCCAAAUUUAUUUUUUUUUGCAUGAAGGGAAUUGUGGAAAUUGACCUGAUUAGUUUGGACUGUCAAGAGCAGAGUUGAACCAUAAUCCCCACAGCACCUCAAAAUCCUGAGACAAGCUUUUCAUCCCCCACAUGAAUACUGUUUUCUGUCCCUUCUGUCCCCCAACUAAUGGGGCCCCUUAAAAUGUAGGAUGGGUUUGAGCUUUGGUUCUUAACAAAGGACCCAGUUAUGGAGGAUCUGGAAGUCUUUUUUUCCCCCUGGGCCUUAUACCCCAUACAUAUAAUGCAAGGCCCACAUCAGUUAUCCAUUCACUCUUAAAUUGAGAGAAGACAAGUUAGAAAAAAGCGUUGAAAGUUUGUUUAUAUUUGGGACUUAGAUAGGGUCUGUGAAAAUGCAGUGCUGGUUUAGGAAGGCAUGAAGUGGCUGGUUUCAGAAUUCCUUGACAGCAGACAUUGAGAGCUUGGUUUUUACAUAAUGUUGCAAAUUAUGAAUAUAGAUUGAAGCCAGAAGGUACUCAUGUGCCCUUAUAACUCUUAAAAUACAGUGAUUUAUGCAAAUUUACUUUUUCAACUUUUUUUUUUUUUUUUAACAGAGUCUCGCUCUGUCAGCCAGGCUGGAGUGCAGUGGCGCAAUCUCGGCUCACUGCAACCUCCACCUCCCGAGUUCAAGAGAGUCUCCUGCCUCAGCUUCCCAAGUAGCAGGGAUUACAGGCACCUGCCAACAUACCUGGCUAAUUUUUGUAUUUUUUAGUGGAGACGGGGUUUCGCCAUGUUGGCCAGGCUGGUCUCAAACUCCUGACCUCAGGUGAUCUGCCUGCCCCGGCCUCCUAAAGCGCUGGGAUUGCAGGCAUGAGCCACCAUGCCUGGCCAAUUUUUUAAACUUUAUAUUAGGCUUUUAAAAUAGAUUAUUAAAGCCAUUAAUAAUUCCUCUCCUCCUUUGGUGGGAAGUUACAGUCUGAGGACUCAAUUUUUCUCUAAUAAGAGGAUAGAAAAAUUGAAUGUCAUUUAGUUUUGAUUACCAUUCAUCUUUCUGCUCCUUUCCAAAUAACACUAUUGUUUGUUCCAUCAUAUAUUCUAUUUAUUCUAUCUGUAACAUAUCUUCCAUGUUACUAAUGUACUUGUAUGUGUAUUUAACACAACUUAUGAAUUCUGCUUCUGUCUCACAAGCUACUUAUUAAUUUAUGUAUAGUUAACACAUCUUCUGAAUUUUGCCUUAUCUUGUAAGCUAUUAGCUUACGUACUAUCUAUAUUGGUUUUAUCCAUCCAAUUUGUUUUCCUAUUUCCUAUAUCUGAAUAUAAUAAAAUCAUACAGCAAACUCAUAUUUCAGGAGCCAUUGAACUUAGAACUCUUUGUUUUUGGAAGGGGAGCCCUAGAAAGUCAGUAUUCUGAAUAGAAAUGACUCUGAGGCUCUACAGAUAAAGAUAAAGCUCUCUUUGCCAGGUGUAGAGUGUCUUCAAACAUAACUUAUUAGGUGAUAAUUCCAUUUCUAUUAACUUGUCUGGCUGGAGGCAAAGAAAUACAGAGGAAAUUGGAAAGAGAGAAAAGAAUAAAGACCUGGAAAAAGGGAAGAUCCUUGAGUUAUCUUUGCCUUAGUUCCUCUGAAGUUAUAAUCUAAAAAUUGGUAUAAGCUCUACAUACACUCUAGGUGGCACUCUGAGGUUAUAAAAUGGUUCAUAUGGUGAGUUGAGGCCACUGUGUUUUGUUUCAUUUUAUUUUAUUUUAUUUUGAGACAGGGUCUCACUCUGUCACCCAGGCUGGAGUACAUGGUGCAAUCUCUGGUCAAUGGAGCCUCGACCUCCUGAGUUCAAGUAAUCCUCCCACCUCAGCCUCCUUAGUAGCUGGGACUAUAGGUGUGUGCCACCACACCUGGCUAAUUUUAUUUUUUGUAGGGAUGGGGUCUCACUAUGUUGCUCAGUCUCAAACUCCUGCCUUGGCCUCCCAACGUGUUGGGAUAACAGGCAUGAGCCACCACUCCUGACCCCACUGUAUUUCAAAGGCCAAAAGGAGUCCAAAAGAAUUAAAACUGGUUUUCUUUUCCCUUUACAAGGAAUCAAGAAAAGGUAGACAGUCAAUAUGGUUUCAUAAGGAAAAUUUUAGAGGGGCAUGGAAUCCCUAUCCAGGAACUUCACAGAGAUUCAAAGAAAAGAAAGUUUGUAAACUAACACUUGAAAGAGCAAGAGAAAACUUGCAAUCAGAGCAAUGCCAGCUGGAGGUCAGGAAGGGAAGCGGUAAAGAAAGAAGAGAAAAUGAGAACUUUUUAUUUUACUCCAAAUCACAAUGUAUUUGAAAAUAUAUAUUAAAGAAAGAUUAUUUUGGCACUUGAUAAAGUGCUAGUAAAGACUAAGACUACUGCAAUUAGCGAGAGAGACUGAACUCAAUGGGGACAAAUGGGGAUUUAAAGCCAACAGGCAGAGUGAAGGUGUCGUAGAUGAUGGAAAAUUACUAAGCACAGAUAUCAAAAGGAGGAAGAGUCUUGCUAAACUGGCCUAACAGGAUUCUUGCUAAUGGUAGGCUAAGGACUUAGAAAUUAAGGGUAGAGGAUUAAUAAUCUGUGCAGAUACCAGACUUGGGGAGAUUCUCAGUAAACUGAUAGAAGGAGUCUUGCUGAAGGUAGUCAAAAGCCAAGGCCUACUUGAGAAGGCUAAAAGAAAAGACUGUGUUUCUAUACUCUCACAAUACUUCUGACACCAUAUGUGUGGGUUUUCCACUCCAAGCAAUUCUCCAAUUCUGCAGACACAAACUGGGUGUUGACACUGCAACUCAAUUCUGACACUAACUACCUGUAAUUAGUGCAGACCCUAUAGGUGAAGGGCUCAGUUCCACAAGACUGCCCCCCACUUCACAUGUCAAUCAUAAGUCCCAGGUUGUCACUCAUAUUUCUGACCAACUGCUGUAAAUUGAGGGUUCCUAUGACCUCCCCCUGAAGUUUGACAAUUUGUUAUAACAACUCACAAGACUCAGGGAAACAUUUACUUACGUUCAUCAGUUUAUUAUAAAGGAUAUGACAAAGGAUAUAGAUGAAGAGAUACACUUGGCAAGGUAUGGGGAGGAAUAUAGAGCUUUCGUGUCUUCUCUGGGGGCACCACACUCCCAAUAACUCCGUGUGUUCACUAGCCCAGAAGCUCUAUGAGUUCUGUUGUUUAGGAGUUUUAUGGAGAUUUCAUUACACAAGCAUGAUGGAUUAAAUCAUUGGCUUUUGAUGACUGGGUCAAUUAUCAGCUCCUCUGCCCUCCUCAGAAGUGGGCUGGGGUGCUGAAAGUUCCAAAUCUUUAAUCGCCAUGGAUGGUUUCUCUGGCAACCAGACCUCACUCUGAAGCUAUCUGGGGACUUUCAGCCACCAGUCAUCUCAUUAACAUACACAAAGACAGUUAUUAUUUAGGAGAUUCCACGGGUCUUAAAAGCUCUUGUGUUGGGAACCAGGGACUAAGACCAAAUGUAACAAAAGAACCUCUUAUCAUCCCUAUCACUCAGGAAGUUACAAGGAUUUUAGAAGCUCUGUGCCACGAGUUGGGAGGAAAGACCAAAUAAACAUAUUUCUUAUGAUGUCACAAAGGCUCAGAGAACCCUGACUAAAGUUGGGUCAAGGAGGGAGUCUUUGUCAGAUAACACAUAUUGAAUUUGGACCUAAAUGAAGAUGAUGUGGAUCAGAGACUGAGGAAACUAAUAAACCAAGGGCAUGGCUGGAUUGUCCAUGUUAACCCUGGGGGCACCUAAGGACUGAGUGGGAGGCAGUGUGGCUUGAUUGUGCAGAGCAGUCAGUAGCCACAUGAAGUACAAGAGAAGUUCUCCUUACUCAUCCUAUGUCAAAAUGACAAUAUUUUCUGCAAAUUCUCCAUUCCUUAGAGCAGUGGUCCUCAAACUUUAGCAUGUAUUAGGAUCAACUGGAAGCCUUUUGAAAACAGACUGCUGGACCUACCCCAGGGCUUCUGGGUCAGUGAGCCCAGGAGAGAUAUGAAAACUGCAUUUCUAAGUUCUCAAGUGAUGCUACUGCUGCUGGCCAGAGGACUAUGCUUUGAGAAUCAAUUUCCUAGAGACAGAAGUCAAGAAAGGGAAAAUGAUGACUGAUUGUCAAGGUCCUUUUCUCAGGGCCUCUACUCGAGAUUUCCCUCAAUAAUGACUCAUUUGUGGAGGGUAAUAGGUGGUCUCCACAGCCUUACCCAGAUGGGCUUUACUGGGCUAGUGCCUGCAUCUCCACUUGCUGUGAGUUUUGGCUGCUAAUGGCUCAGAGCUGCUCCUUCUCCAGGGUAUUAACUCUCAGUGGCCACCUUCUCCAAAGAAUUUUCUUCAGCCAAAGGGAGCCACCUCGCCUGGGAGUUUAUGCCUCUAGAGUUCAAGGGUGGGCCCAUAAGCCAAUGACUGACUCACAUGGGCUACAAGAGGCUAUGUCUCAUCCUUCAAGAUGGGACUGAUUAUAGUGUGAUUUUUUCUGAAGCUAAGCUCCAGCAGAAAUUGCAUUUUAAUUCUCUCUUUUCCUGGCCUUAUCCUGCUUCACAGAUUCCCUUCUUCUGAGACCAUUCUUUCAAUAAGCUAUAUGUGCCUCAAUUCUUGUCUCAGAUUCUGUUUAUGGAGAACAGAAGCCAAGUCAAGAGGUGUUCAUAAGACCACAGAAGCAAUAUUUGAUGUGCUCUGGGAUAGACUGUGUCCUACUUCUCAUAUUUUGAGAAUUCACCUCCCAGAAUUAACACGGGUACUCUCCAAGGCUAAGAGCCACCUGUGUCCACACAGUCCACAGAAAAUAUAUUACAUCCACAGACUAACUGCCACAGGGGAGACCACAGUGGUUUAUUACCUCCUGCUAUGGGCUGCUUUGCAAAUCUGGGAAUAGGUUGAUUAGAGAGGGUCUGAGUCCUGGUUUUCUAGGACCUUAGAACCUUCCCGUCCUGCCUGAGAACUCUCUCCAAAAGUUUUGUGAUCAGUGGAGCCUUAAUGAUUCUAGAUGCCUGGUAGGUUGUUUGUGGGGUAGUGGAUUUAUGGACCCAAUUAGCUCUAGUGUACCUGAUUUGCGUAAUAAGUUGUGGGAACUUCUGGUUAGAAGAAAAAAGUUCCACAGCAAUAAUAGUGCCUGUGAUGGUAAUGAUGAUAAUCACCUGAUAGUAACCUUUUAACUACUAUGACAGACUGGAGCUCCUUAGACACUCCUGAGAAGUCGACCCACUUCCAGAAGGUUCUAAGUGUAACUUUCGUUGGGGACUAAGCUCUGCUAUUGGGAUUGGUUGAGGAGGAGAGAAGUGGAAAUUUUUAUGUCUUGAUCCUCUCUUUAUAAAGACAUUUUACAUUAUUAUUAUAUUUUACAUUAUUAUUAUUGCCAUCAUUAUCAUCAUUGUCAUCAUUUGUGACAUUCUGAUCUGGACUUCUGGCCCCCAAACCUGCCCCUCACCUAUGCCCACCUCCCACUGCAAGGACAUUUCUGUUUCUCAUUUCUAUGGUCUUGGCUCUCUCCAGAAAAAUGUUUAUUUUCUCUUCAGGGACAGCCACUGGAAGGCAUUAGGAGGAUAGAACCUGGAUUUUCAGAGCAGUGGCAGGAUGAAGACCUUUCCCGCAUACUCAGGCACAAAGCAUUCAGGCUGAAGGCUGCAGUCCUCUUUCUUCAUUACUAUAGGAAUGUUGGUCACCUGGAGCAACUGCAGGUUCCUGGGUUAGGCUGAACCAGUAACUGGAGAGAAUUUUAUACAUUGUGUCAGCUCAUCCUCUCCACCUACUUUCUGGACCUUGGUUAUCCAGAUCUUACCAGGUCUGGAACCCUUCUGAAGACUAUUAAGGUCCCAGAGGUACUUAACCACUUCAGAGAUUUAAAAGAAGCUAAAAAAUGAAACAUAUUUCUUAACACCACUGGUAGCUGGUUCUGUAAUCUCCUCACUGCUCUCACAACCGCCAUAGCGGUUAGUAAAAGAUUUAUGGAAAUCUCAAAUCCUAUGGUUUACAGCCAAGGAAAGCCCGAUUUUUUUAACUCAUUUUUUCUUACUAGAUGUUAAGUUUAAGAAGAGAAAACAUCCAAAUAUUUUGAUAAUAUUUCCCAUUUUUCAUGUAUCAAAUAUCCACCAUUUAUGAAUUUUAAGGUCUUAAAAAUCAUUUUCCUAACAGUUUUUGGUUUAGUCAAUUUUCAUGUUGCUGAAUAAAGAUUAAGUCAUGGAUCACAUUUCUUCUUUCUUCCUUUUUUUUUUUUUUUUGAGAUGGAGUUUUGCUCUUGUUACCCAGGCUGGAGAGCAAUGGCGCGAUCUUGGCUCAUUGCAACCUCCACCUCCAGGGAACAAGCAAUUCUCCUGUCUCGGUCUCCCAAGUAGCUUGGAUUACAGGCAUAUGCCAUCAUGCCCGGCUAAAUUUUUUGUAUUUAGUAGAGACGGGGUUUCACCAUGUUAGUCAGGCUGGUCGCGAACUCCUGACCUCAGGUGAUCCACCCUCCUUGGCCUCCCAAAGUGCUGGCAUUACAGGUGUGCACCACUGUGCCCAGCCCAUAUUUCUAUUUAGGUACACAGCAGGAUUACGAUCCCCAUAAUGUUUGAAAUUACUCACUGAUUUAAAUUUCCUGCAUUUUUUAAGUGCAAAAAAUAUUUUUAAGUGCUAAUACCUAUGUUCCAAGUAAUUUGUAAAAAGAGAAAGAAAAACAGUGAUUUUAUUUUACUUCCUCAUCUAAUUUCUUUCCUUAAUAUCUGGUUUUCUGAAAUCUGCUUGAAUUAUAAAACACUGUAUUUUAACUAUAAAACAGCACGGGGCAGAUAGGGCUUCCUAGCAGGUCCUUUGCACCUCUGAUUAGGAGUGGGUUUUGUUCCACUUUGUUUUGUUAUGCUUUUUUACUUUUAUGUGCUUUCAGAUUUUAACAGUGAGCAUGAAUUAAUUUUAUAAACAGAAAUAUAUGCCCUCUCCCUCUCCGUCUCCCUCUCCCUCUCCCCCUCCACCUCCCCCUCCCCCUCCCUUUUGCACGGUCCUCCUCUCCCCUUUGCACUGUCUACCUCUGAUGCCGGGCCGAGGCUGGACUGUACUGCCGCCAUCUGGGCUCACUGUAGCCUCUCUGCCUGAUUCUCCUGCCUCAGCCUGCCGAGUGCCUGGGAUUGCAGGCGCGGGCCACCACACCUGACUGGUUUUCGUAUUUUUUGGUGGAGACGGGGUUUCGCCGUGUUGGCCGGGCUGGUCUCCAGCUCCUGACCGCGAGUGGUCUGCCAGCCUCGGCCUCCUGAGGUGCCGGGAUUGCAGACGGAGUCUCCCUCACUCAGUGCUCAACGUUUCCCAGGCUGGAGUGCAGUGGCGUGAUCUCGGAUCGCUACAACCUCCACCUCCCAGCCGCCUGCCUUGGCCUCCCAAAGUGCUGAGAUUGCAGCCUCUGCCCGGCCGCCACCCCGUCUAGGAAGUGAGGAGCGUCUCUGCCUGGCCGCCCAUCGUCUGGGAUGUGAGGAGCCCCUCUGCCCGGCCGCCGAGUCUGAGAAGUGAGGAGCGCCUCUUCCCGGCCGUCAUCCCGUCUAGGAAGUGAGGAGGUCUCUGCCCGGCCGCCCAUCAUCUGGGAUGUGGGGAGCGCCUCUGCCCCGCCGCCCCGU